rnacentral:rRNA from 1 species
UAUAUAAAGAGUUUGAUCCUGGCUCCGAAUGAAUGCUUUUGGUUAAUUUUACACAUGCAAGUUAUUAAUUAAUUUAAUAGCGCACGGGUGAGUAAUAUACAAAAAUAAUUUAAAAAAAAUAGUUUGUAAAAGAUUAAGUAUUAACGGUAUAAUUAAAAAAGUUAGCUGAUAAUCUUUAGCUGAUUUUUGAGAAUGAUCAGCCACACUGGAAUUGAAAACGGUCCAGACUAAUUUUAGGCAGCAGUGAAGAAUCUUGGACAAUGAGUGUAAACUUGAUCCAGUUAAACCAAUUAUGUGAAGAAGAUUUGUAUUGUAAAACAUUAAAUUUUAAAAUAAUCAUGAUUCUUAAAAUUUUAGUCCUGGCUAAUUUCGUGCCAGCAGCCGCGGUAAAACGAGAAGGACAAGUGUUAUUCAAAUUAAUUGGGCGUAAAGUAUUAUUAGGUGGUAAAUUAAUGUAAAUUUUUUUAACUAAAUCAACUGAAAAAGUUUAAGAAUAGCUAAAGUUAUUAAACAAAUUUACUUGAGUUUAAUAAAAAAAGAUUUUAGAAUUUUACGUGUAACAGUAAAAUGUAGUAAUAUGUAAAAGAAUUUCUAAGGCAAAGGCAAAAAUCUGAUAUAAACUGACACUUUUUAAUUAAAGUAUAGGUAGCAAAAGGGAUUAGAUACCCCUGUAGUCUAUACCCUGAACGAUGAAUGUUAUUGUUUUAACCGACAUUUACUUAACAGAAAACAUUUCGCCUGGGAACUACGAUCGCAAGAUUAAAACUCAAAGGAAUUGACGGGAACUCAAACAAGCAGUGGAGCAUGUGGUUUAAAUCGAUAAUACGCGCGAAAUCUUACCAAUUUUUGUUUAUCAGGUGUUGCAUGGCUGUUGUCAGUCCGUGCUGUGAAGUGUUUGGUUUAUUCCAAUAAACGGACGUAACUUUUUUAUGCUAAAAAAUUUUGCAUAUUUAAUAAGGAGAUCUUAUUAAAAUAAAAACGAUAACAAGUCCUCAUGACCCUUAUGAAUUGGGCUACUUUCAUGUGCUACAAUAUUCUUUUCAAAAAUCAAAAUUAAAGUAAUUUUUUUAAUAAGAAAAAAAGAAUUUUUAAAUUGUUUUCUGAAAUUCGAAAACAUGAAAUUGGAAUUGCUAGUAAUCAGUUAAUAAGAAUGUAACGGUGAAUUUGUUCUUGAGUUUUGUACACACCGCCCGUCACGCUAUGGGAAUCUACUUUAUUUGAAGAAGUUAAUAUCUUUUAAAAUAAAACGAAGACUAGAGUGAAGUCGUAACAAGGUAGCCGUAGGGGAACCUGUGGCUGGAAUAAAAUAAUA